AUACGUAGGAUCCUAGCGUUGUCCGGAUUUACUGGGUGUAAAGGGUGCGCAGGCGGACUUGUAAGUCAGGGGUGAAAUCUCGCCGCUUAACGGCGAAACUGCCUUUGAUACUAUAAGUCUUGAGUUUGGUAGAGAUCCGUGGAAUUCCGAGUGUAGCAGUGAAAUGUGUAGAUAUUCGGAAGAACACCAGCGGCGAAGGCAGCGGAUUGGGCCAUAACUGACGCUCAGGCACGAAAGCAUGGGGAUCAAACA
rnacentral:rRNA from 1 species